rnacentral:lncRNA from 1 species
CUGCAGUGAGCCAUGAAAAAGUGUUCGAAUUGCUCGAAGGAGUAUAAACUUUUCGACUGAAGUCUGGAGUACCAGGCUCGAGCAGCUUUUCGAAGAGUCAUCGGAAAGCUGAUGCACAAGAGGACAUCGGUUGCCUUCUGAAUCAUCAUGAGAGCCUUGUAGCUCUCAAGGUGGUCGAUCGGGUCAGUGGAACCGUCAUAUGGCUCCACUUGCGGCA